rnacentral:misc_RNA from 1 species
GAUGAAGAACGUAGCGAAAUGCGAUAAGUAAUGCGAAUUGCAGAUUUCAGUGAAUCAUCGAAUCUUUGAACGCACAUUGCGCCCGCCAGCACUCUGGCGGGCAUGCCUGUUCGAGCGUCAUUUCAACCAUCAAGCCCCCAGGGGCUUGUGCUGGGGCCCUGCGGCUGCCCGCAGGCCCUGAAAACCAGUGGCGGGCUCGCUAGUCACACCGAGCGCAGUAGCACAUCUCGCUCAGGGCGUGCGGCGGGCUCCUGCCGUGAAACCCCCCACUGUAACCCCAAAGGUUGACCUCGGAUCAGGUAGGAAUACCCGCUGAACUUAAGCAUAUCAAUAAGCGGAGGA